GCCCCUACGGGGCGCAGCAGUGGGGAAUAUUGCACAAUGGGGGAAACCCUGAUGCAGCAACGCCGCGUGAGUGAAGAAGUAUUUCGGUAUGUAAAGCUCUAUCAGCAGGGAAGAAGAUGACGGUACCUGAUUAAGAAGCCCCGGCUAACUACGUGCCAGCAGCCGCGGUAAUACGUAGGGGGCACGCGUUAUCCGGAUUUACUGGGGGUAAAGGGAGCGCAGACGGCAGUGCAAGUCUGGAUUGAAAUGCCGGGGCUCAACCCCGGACCUGCUUUGGAAAC
rnacentral:rRNA from 1 species